rnacentral:rRNA from 1 species
GACGAACGCUGGCGGCGUGCUUAACACAUGCAAGUCGAACGGUAAGGCCUUUCGGGGUACACGAGUGGCGAACGGGUGAGUAACACGCGGGUGAUCUGCCCUGCACUUCGGGAUAAGCCCGGGAAACUGGGUCUAAUACCGGAUAGGACUGCGCGGUGCAUGCCGUGUGGUGGAAAGAUUUAUCGGUGCAGGAUGGGCCCGCGGCCUAUCAGCUUGUUGGUGGGGUAAUGGCCUACCAAGGCGACGACGGGUAGCCGGCCUGAGAGGGCGACCGGCCACACUGGGACUGAGACACGGCCCAGACUCCUACGGGAGGCAGCAGUGGGGAAUAUUGCACAAUGGGCGCAAGCCUGAUGCAGCGACGCCGCGUGAGGGAUGACGGCCUUCGGGUUGUAAACCUCUUUCAGCAGGGACGAAGCGUGAGUGACGGUACCUGCAGAAGAAGCACCGGCCAACUACGUG